rnacentral:tRNA from 1 species
GCGGGUAUGGUAUAGAGGUUGUGCCUUAGCCUUCCAAGCUAAUGAGGCGAGUUCGAGUCUCGCUACCCGCUCCA